ACGAACGCUGGCGGCGUGCUUAACACCUGCAAGUCGAACGGAAAGGCCCUGCUUUUGUGGGGUGCUCGAGUGGCGAACGGGUGAGUAACACGUGAGUAACCUGCCCUUGACUUUGGGAUAACUUCAGGAAACUGGGGCUAAUACCGGAUAGGAGCUCCUGCUGCAUGGUGGGGGUUGGAAAGUUUCGGCGGUUGGGGAUGGACUCGCGGCUUAUCAGCUUGUUGGUGGGGUAGUGGCUUACCAAGGCUUUGACGGGUAGCCGGCCUGAGAGGGUGACCGGCCACAUUGGGACUGAGAUACGGCCCAGACUCCUACGGGAGGCAGCAGUGGGGAAUAUUGCACAAUGGGCGGAAGCCUGACGCAGCAACGCCGCGUGCGGGAUGACGGCCUUCGGGUUGUAAACCGCUUUCGCCUGUGACGAAGCGUGAGUGACGGUAAUGGGUAAAGAAGCACCGGCUAACUACGUG
rnacentral:rRNA from 1 species